GUCCUUGAGACGUGGCUUCCGGAGCUAACGCGUUAAAUUGACCGCCUGGGGAGUACGGCCGCAAGGUUAAAACUCAAAUGAAUUGACGGGGGCCCGCACCAGCGGUGGAGCAUGUGGUUUAAUUCGAUGCAACGCGAAGAACCUUACCUGGCCUUGACAUGUCUGGAAUCUUGUAGAGAUACGGGAGUGCCUUUGGGAAUCAGAACACAGGUGCUGCAUGGCGGUUGUCAGCUCGUGUCUUGAGAUGUUUGGUUAAAUCCCGCAACGAGCGCAACCCCUUUCCUUUGUUGCCAGCACGUAAUGGUGGGAACUCAAGGGAGACUGCCGGUGAUAAACCGGAGGAAGGUGGGGAUGACGUCAAGUCAUCAUGGCCCUUACGGCCAGGGCUACACACGUGCUACAAUGGCGCGUACAGAGGGCAGCGAGCUAGCGAUAGCGAGCGAAUCCCAAAAAGCGCGUCGUAGUCCGGAUCGGAGUCUGCAACUCGACUCCGUGAAGUCGGAAUCGCUAGUAAUCGCAAAUCAGAAUGUUGCGGUGAAUACGUUCCCGGGCCUUGUACACACCGCCCGUCACACCAUGGGAGUGGGUUGCACCCGAAGUA
rnacentral:rRNA from 1 species